GACAACGCAGAAAACAAAACAUGGAACAAAAGAUAAGGAGGACCAAACGGAGGAAGAGGAGAGAUUGAGACGAAAAAGCAGCUGCUGUUUGGAAACAGUGAUUGGACAGUUUAGUGCAAAGAGCUCCAGUUUCUACCUGAAGGGACCUGGGAUAAAAGCAGGCCACUGUGGAGCUGGCAGGUUCUGUUCGGAGCCGCAGCGCCCCGCUUGAACACUCAGAGUGCUGCCAUAUGUCGGACCUCGGCGGUGCCAGCAGCAAAUGUGCUGAACAAUGCGACUCAAUGCAUGAACUCGGUGCCUCGCUGCAGGGAAUGCUGCGCUGACUCGUUCGACAUUCACGCGAGUCUGGAAAGCCAUCCCAGACAGCCGCGGGUCGCACCUGGUUAUGCUUCUUCCCAGUCUUCCCUCUCCCUCUGCUCCCCGGUUCCCACACCGGAGGCAUCUGGAACCUAUUGGCAGCAGAGUCACACCGAGCCAUAAAGCCCUCAAAAGCUCACAAACAGACGAGGGGUAGAGCGUUAAACAAUGUUGGCCCAACAAGCUGCCAACAGACACAACGCAUCUUGAACCUGAACAAACCCCACUGCUCAUUUUUUAUCCUCGCUGUCUCUCAGUGCGUCUCUCUAAACUAUUCCCCUCUUUCUCUCUCCUGCAGACACCACCUGGGAAUUUAGUUUUUACCCCUAAAUGGAAAUGGUGCCGGUGCUAAGGGAGCUAAAUAAGGUUCAAAUGACCAAGACAUGGAGAGGUAGAUACUGAUGAGGCAAGAACCCAGCUGCCCAAAUACAUCGUUGCACUUUUGCACAGCCACCUUUUACCGACAGGAUUUAUCUUUGAGUUUGUUGUUUGCAUCUCGAGGCAAUUAAAUUAAUUUGUGUUCAAAAUAGAAACAUGAAAACUGUAACUGUGUUUCAGUUACAAAUGUGAGCAGAAGUUUGUUGAUAUUCUAACGUUGAAAAACCACAAACAGACACGAAGCCCAUGUUCAUGUUCCAGACAAAACGUGGGAUAAAAGAAACGGCUCACUGUGACUGUGUGGGUUAAUUUAUAAUUUAAUUUAUUUAACCUUUGUUUUUUAGCAUGAA